rnacentral:rRNA from 1 species
UACGUAGGGCGCAAGCGUUGUCCGGAAUUAUUGGGCGUAAAGAGCUCGUAGGCGGCUUGUCGCGUCGGUUGUGAAAGCCCGGGGCUUAACCCCGGGUCUGCAGUCGAUACGGGCAGGCUAGAGUUCGGUAGGGGAGAUCGGAAUUCUUGGUGUAGCGGUGAAAUGCGCAGAUAUCAGGAGGAACACCGAUGGCGAAGGCAGGUCUCUGGGCCACUACUGACGCUGAGAAGCGAAAGCAUGGGGAGCGAACAGG